AUAAUAUUAUAUUAAUAAAAUCUACAAUCUAAUUUCUAAAUCAAUAAAACCUACAGCUACAACCAUCACACCUACAACAAAAAAUAUACAAAAAUAAAUUUACAGUUACAGACGAACCAAUCACCCACAUAGCUUCCAUUUUUAAGGUAUAUAGUCGUCUAGAUUACUAUCACAACAAUUUAAA
rnacentral:sRNA from 1 species